CGUCACUGAGGGGUCGGUGCAGCGGGAUGACGCAACUUCCGGAUUUCGCAUGCCACACGCUGCCGGAAGUGCGGGUUCCGUGCACAGGACGGCGGGGACGUGGAGGCAGACACAGAUACACGGUACAGUGCAUAAUUACCACACACGAACGCCUCAACGAGUUUUGCACUCUUGAAGAUGUUGCCAUAUUGGCGCAGAAAUGUAUGCACUUUCCUAUAAGGUGCAGACAGUCGCACUACACCAGGAUCCAGUGUUUGGCACAGCACAGAGUGGGGAACGUCAGCC